GGACAUGAUUUAUUUCAGGAGAGAGAAGGGUCUGAUGCUUUCUUAAGCUUUCUCUUUCAUAUGUUAAUUUAUUCUGCCUUGAGAAUGUAUCCAAGAUUUUGCAAGCAUGCAGUGAUAUGCUACAGGGGAAAAUGCAAGAGAGAAAAGACAUAUGCAUAUCAAUCAAACUUCGUAGGAAAGGAACUGGGAAAAUUGCCCGUUACAGAGAAAAUGUCACAUCUGCUUCUGGCUCCUGUUCCUCUCUGCUCCUCUCACUUUCCCGUAAAUUGGAAAAUACCCUAAUGUGAUUCCCUUUCCAGGUACCUGUCUGGAAGAGAAGAAGAACUACGUUCCCUAAGAGCCUUUUCAAGUACUGUUAUCAUUCCUGCUCAAUGGAACAGAUAUAAGGGCGCAGGUCAUCUGACUCUUCCCUCUUCUCAUCUCGCCGUGUUCCCUGCCGGAUCGGCUCACUACUGCUGCUCCCAACUGCACACAAGGCUUCAAGUAUUGGUGUAAGGCCUUCAGCUCUCGGACAAUCUUUCUCUCAAUUAUUGUUGAUUUAUAUUGUAUUAUAG
ensembl:lncRNA